rnacentral:rRNA from 1 species
ACUCCUACGGGAGGCAGCAGUGGGGAAUAUUGCACAAUGGGGGAAACCCUGAUGCAGCCAUGCCGCGUGUGUGAAGAAGGCCUUCGGGUUGUAAAGCACUUUCAGUAGGGAGGAAGGUAGUGUAGUUAACACCUGCUAUUAUUUGUACGUUACCUACAGAAGAAGCACCGGCUAACUCCGUGCCAGCAGCCGCGGUAAGUACGGAGGGUGCGAGCGUUAAUACGGAAUUACGUGGGCGUAAAGCGCAUGCAGGCGGCCUGUUAAGUCAGAUGUGAAAGCCCGGGGUCUUAACCGUCGGAAUUGCAUUUGAAACUGGCGAGGCUAGAGUCUUGGUAGAGGGGUUAGAAUUUCGAGGUGUAGCGGUGAAAUGCGUAGAGAUCG